UUUGUGUCUGUGUUUUUAACAAAUUAAGUCAUAAAAAUAAUUUUCUAUGGCACCACUAGAAUUUUAUUUCUUAGCGUGUAAAUAGGGGAUCCUUAACAUGACAUUGCCAAUGUGAU